rnacentral:rRNA from 1 species
GUCUGCAACCCGACUCCACGAAGCCGGAUUCGCUAGUAAUCGCGCAUCAGCCACGGCGCGGUGAAUACGUUCCCGGGCCUUGUACACACCGCCCGUCAAGCCAUGGGAGCCGGGGGUACCUGAAGUGCGUAACCGCGAGGAUCGCCCUAGGGUAAAACUGGUGACUGGGGCUAAGUCGUAACAAGGUAAC